rnacentral:ncRNA from 2 species
CGCUACUUGUCGGGGUGCCAUUAAGUUGGCUGAGAUGAAACCCGUUGAACCUGAAGAGGCUAGAACCUCCGUAGGAAACAAGGCGGAUUGCCGG